UACAGAGGGUGCUAGCGUUACUCGGAAUUACUGGGCGUAAAGCGCACGUAGGUGGCGACGUAAGUCGGGUGUGAAAGCCCCGGGCUCAACCUGGGAAUUGCAUUCGAGACUGCAUUGCUGGAGUACGGAAGAGGAAGGCGGAAUUCCCGGUGUAGAGGUGAAAUGCGUAGAUAUCGGGAGGAACAGCAGUGGCGAAGGCGGCGUUCUGGUCCAGUACUGACACUCAAGUGCGAAAGCGUGGGGAGCAAACAGG
rnacentral:rRNA from 1 species